CCUGAGACUUUAAGUCUCCUGAAGGAACGUUGAAGACGACGACGUUGAUAGGCCGGGUGUGUAAGCGCAGCGAUGCGUUGAGCUAACCGGUACUAAUGAACCGUGAGGCUUAACCUUACAACGCCGAAG
rnacentral:rRNA from 2 species